GAUGAAGAACGUAGCGAAAUGCGAUAAGUAGUGUGAAUUGCAGAAUUCAGUGAAUCAUCGAAUCUUUGAACGCACAUUGCGCCUUUUGGUAUUCCUUAGGGCAUGCCUGUUCGAGCGUCAUUUAAACCUUCAAGCUAAGCUUGGUGUUGGGUGACUGUCCGCUUCACGGCGGACUCGCCUCAAAAUUAUUGGCGGCCGGUACAUUGGCUUCGAGCGCAGCAGAAACGCGAACUCGGGCCCGUCGUAUUGGCUCCCAGAAGCUAUCUUCACAAUUUUGACCUCGGAUCAGGUAGGGAUACCCGCUGAACUUAAGCAUAUCAAUAAGCGGAGGA
rnacentral:misc_RNA from 1 species